rnacentral:rRNA from 1 species
AUUGAACGCUGGCGGCAGGCCUAACACAUGCAAGUCGAGCGGUAACACAGGGAGCUUGCUCCUGGGUGACGAGCGGCGGACGGGUGAGUAAUGUCUGGGAAACUGCCUGAUGGAGGGGGAUAACUACUGGAAACGGUAGCUAAUACCGCAUAACGUCGCAAGACCAAAGAGGGGGACCUUCGGGCCUCUUGCCAUCAGAUGUGCCCAGAUGGGAUUAGCUAGUAGGUGGGGUAACGGCUCACCUAGGCGACGAUCCCUAGCUGGUCCGAGAGGAUGACCAGCCACACUGGAACUGAGACACGGUCCAGACUCCUACGGGAGGCAGCAGUGGGGAAUAUUGCACAAUGGGCGCAAGCCUGAUGCAGCCAUGCCGCGUGUAUGAAGAAGGCCUUCGGGUUGUAAAGUACUUUCAGCGGGGAGGAAGGUGUUGAGGUUAAUAACCUCAGCAAUUGACGUUACCCGCAGAAGAAGCACCGGCUAACUCCGUGCCAGCCGCCGCCGUAA